GUUAAGAAUCCUACCAUUUGGCUGCUCGAUAUGCGCCAUUGAACUCCAGUUUCGAGAUAUGCAACAUUUUCGAGGUUGAGAGAAUGAGAACUGGCAUGCUGCCAAAGUACACUUGUCAAAUAAAAGAACACCUUGACGAAUUUGGCAACUGACUUACAGGCCCUUUCCCGGAGGAUGGGAGGUGACAAAGGCAUGCGUUGCUUAUCUAAAAAAGGACGAUUUGACGUAAGACGUAGUUAUGGUGAUGGGGAGAGAGAUGGACAUCAACUCUGAAACAAGCAUUUGCCAUUGCAUCAGCUUGAACAAACAAACCAUAGAGUGGUUUCCUCUUUGUUCUGGAUAGCCACUGCCAAGCCAAGUCCGAUAAGGUUAUUAGAGAAUGAAAGAUAACCGGAAAGAAUUACUUGUCCGAGAUGGUCUCUCUCCUAUCAGUGAAACAACAACGAACAACGUACACACGAUCAUGUAGGAGUUAACUCUAGAGAUCUUGAAUCGCUACCUCCUGCCAUAGCUGGCAGGACGGAAAUGAAAAAACACUCGCGCUCGAGAUAUAAAUAAGUUUGCUAACGUCUCCACACACACACGCAGCACAGGAAGGAGGAGUUCCAGCACUAAAGACAAGCCACUGCGCCAAAUUCUUCUAUGGUUCUGGUCGCCAGGGUGCGAAUUGAAAGCACUAGACGCUCACCUUUGGCCGAGAUUGCUCGCUUCACCAGCACCGCCAUCACAAGCCGCGCCGACUGGUUAUUUGAGCACUGCUCCUUGUUCUUGACUUAGUCUUUAGCAGAGUGAUCCCCGUGCUUCUUGUUCUUCUCCUUCUCCGCCUCGGAUUGAUCAGCAGAGAAUCCUAGCAGCAAUCUAGCAUCGCCGCGCCAUGGACAGGAGCCGGCUACAACGCCGCACCUCCAGCGUGCACGAGAACGGAGAGAUUGCCGCCGCCGGCCAAAAACUAUUUUGCUCUAGAACCCUA
rnacentral:lncRNA from 1 species